UAGUCCACGCCCUAAACGAUGAAUGCUAGUCGUUAGAGGUUUUACACCUUUAGGGACGCAGUUAACACAUUAAGCAUUCCGCCUGGGGAGUACGGUCGCAAGAUUAAAACUCAAAGGAAUAGACGGGGACCCGCACAAGUGGUGGAGCAUGUGGUUUAAUUCGAAGAUACGCGAAGAACCUUACCCAGACUUGAUAUCCUUGGAAUCUUUCAGAGAUGAGAGAGUGCUAGCUUGCUAGAGCCAAGUGACAGGUGCUGCACGGCUGUCGUCAGCUCGUGUCGUGAGAUGUUGGGUUAAGUCCCCGCAACGAGCGCAACCCUCGUCGUUAGUUGCUAACAGUUCGGCUGAGAACUCUAACGAGACUGCCUUCGCAAGGAGGAGGAAGGUGGGGACGACGUCAAGUCAUCAUGGCCCUUAUGUCUGGGGCGACACACGUGCUACAAUGGGGUGUACAAAGUGAAGCAAUACCGCGAGGUGGAGCAAAUCACAAAACAUCNCU
rnacentral:rRNA from 1 species